CGCCCAGUAUUGGCACCCUUCAAUCCCCAGCUUUCCACUGCCUCUCCCCAUGACCAUAUUCUCAGGCCAUAACAUUAUGGACACGCAAGUUAGAGACCCAAACAGACAGAAAUCACCGUGCAAGUCAGGCCACUCUACUAAUUUGCUUUUACCAUCCUUGAGCAGAGUAGAUGUAGCUGCCCUCCUUAAACCAGUCAGCUCUUUGUUGGUCGGUAGAGAUCUGUUUGUAGAGCAUGGCCCACGCGACCAUGAAAUCCUCGGGUGGUCCCAGAGGUGGCCUUGAGGGGAAAGAGGUACUCCGCUCAUGAAGGCAGCAGAUUGGUCGAUGUGUGAGCAUAGUCAGCCUCAGAUCGCUUAAAAACUGCAGCCCAGGACUGCAGCAGAAGUUCAGGAGUGAAACCAUCACAGAGGAGGAGCUGGUGGGGCUCAUGAACAAGUUCGUGGAAGACACAAAGAACAGGAUGUACAGGAAGGAGGGCUGGCCUGAUACUGCAUAUGGAGUGACAAAAAUUGGUGUCACGGUCCUGUCCAGAAUCCAUGCCAGGAAACUGAGUGAGCAGAGGAGAGGGGACGAGAUCCUCCUGAAUGCCUGCUGCCCUGGCAGGGUGGG